CAGGUUCAAGUAAUUCUCCUGCCUCAGCCUCCCGAGUAGCUGGGAUUACAGGCACCCGCCAUCAUGCCUGGCUAAUUUUUGUAUUUUUAGUAGAGUCAGGGUUUCAACAACUCCUGACCUCAGGUGAUCCAUCCUCCUCAGCCUCCCAAAGUGGAUUACAGUCAUGAGCCAUCGCGCCUGGCCGCAAGCUAUUAUUCUUGACAUGUUUCUUCUUCGGAAGCCAUAAAGUGGUGAUGAUGCCACCUUUUCAGCUACAUAUGAGGUAAGGAAGUCUUUAUGUUUCUAGGAAUCACAAGAGGUUUCUGUCAAAGGAAAUGAAGGAGAGUCCCUACUGUGUUUUAGUAGCUCUCUACUGGUGGCUAUCAGGACACCUUCCAGAGUGGGCUGUGAGGCCUUGCUGGUCUCACUACAGUGAGGGAAAGAACACUGCUUCCUUCUGAAGCCUGGGACAAAUGCAGCUAUCACAGCCUGCCCUUCUACAAUCACUCAACACUGUGGUACAUGUGAUAGACCUAACUUAGUGCCAUGCCAAGCCUGAUGGGAAUCUCCUGUAAUUUUUGUAAGGAGAGCUUUUUAGUCAGGGUUCAGCCCAGAACAGAAACUGCCCAAAUAUUUUUAAGAAGAAACAGAGUUACUAUACAGUAACUGCCUCUUAUCAUGCUCAGUCUUCAUGAGCUCAGUGCCCAGAGCUUUGAUGCUUCUGCCUCACUUCUGCUCUCCAAAUCUCAUGCAAGCACAUCUAAUUGGCAGAAAAUAAUUUGCAUCCAGCUCCCUAGCUGCAAAGAUUAUCUGGGAAAUGUAGUUUUUAGCCUUCUAGCCUCUGUAGUACAGGAAGGCCCACUGGAAGGAAAUGCUGGGUGCCCAGAGACCAUAUCCAGCCACAUUUUCCUUUAUUCAAACAUUUGACCGGAGAUCACUAGUACUGGUAACAUCUGCCAACAUUAUUUCUCAUGAGGGUUAUGAAAAACACUGAAAAGGCACAAGGGACAAUGUACACUAUAACCACGUGGGGCUCCUAUCUUCCUGUAUUUCUUCCUAUCCAGAGAUGGAUGGAUUGUGGACUCUAUGAUUCAGAACUGAUGUUUAGAGAAUAAAAAUAGUAAUAGUCACAAAUGAUUAAUGGCUGAAAUCCUGUUUCAGGAUUUAGACACAAGAACUGCUCCACCGAGAGAGUCUCCUUGGGGAAAGGGGCAUAUUUAGAAACAUGCCAUGUUAGGAGAACCUUAGAAAUCAUCAGUUUAGCAUUUUCCAAAGUUUGCCAAAAACUUUUUAGAUCCACAUGAUGCUUUAUCAAAAACAAAGGGAUUCAGUGAUCAAAUAAGUUUGGGAAACAGUGCAUAUCCCCAUCCUGAAGAACCACGGUGCACAUCAGCAUAUCAGAGGCUCUAGGAAGUCCUGUGGUAAGGGAUCUGCUUAACUUUGGUCCACUGGUUUCCAAAUGUAUCUGGCCCUAGAACCUUUCCUUUUUUACACAAUGCCUGUUAACCUUCUGAGGAAUUGGAGUUCGACGGGACAUGUGCUGUGAGGACUGGAUCUAAUACCAACUCCUCUUUUUCCAUAUGAGGAAGCUGAGGUCCAAGGCAAUGAGGUUAUUUGCCUGUGAUCACAGAAAUCCUGGGCAGUACAGGUGGGAAUAAAACCAGAGUUUUUUCUUCUUCCUCACAUGGCCUUAUCAAAAUUAAUUGUCCUCCCUUACAUCUCUCGGCAUCAUCAGUAAGGUAACAGCUACUAAGAGAUGGGCUACUUAAGGAAAAUCAUACUUUAAAUAGUACCCCACCAACAUGGAAGGAUUCUUUUACCUGUGGGGUCCCACAACCAACUUAUCACAAAGGAAAAAUGGGGAGAACAGUCACUUAGCCUAUGUUUACUCCUAAAUGAUCAGUGUUUUCAGACCAGCUGGGAUAUUCUUAGACUCAUCUUUCUGUCAACCAAAUCACAGACCAUCACAAAAUGACACCAAGAAUACUAGUUAUCUAGAAUACUAGUUAUCUAUUACUGCAAAAUAAAUGAUCCUGAAACCUAAAACAAUAAACCUUUGUUAUGUCUCAGUUUCUGUGGGAAUCUUGGAGUGGCUUAGGUGUGUGGUUCUGGUGCAGCCUUUUGUGAGGUCACAGACAGAGUGUCAGCCAGGGAUGCAGUCAUCUGAAGACUUGACUGGGGCUGGAGAACCUCCUCUCAAGGCAACUCCCACACAAGCCUAGGAAGUUCAUUCUGGCUGUUGGCAAGGGGCUUCUGUUCCUUGCCAUGUGGACUGCUUGCCAUAGGCUGCUUGAGUGGCCUCAUCACAGACAUGGUGGUUGGCUUUCCCCAGAGUGAGUAAUCUGAGAGAGAGAGCAAGGAGGAAGCCUUGGUGCCUUUUAUGACCCCAGUCUCAGAAGUCACAUACCAUCAAUUCUGCCAUAGUCUGUCUUUAUUUAGAAGUGAGCCAUCAUAUCCCACUCACACUCAAGGGGAGAAGAGUUAGUUUCUCCCUUUUGAAGGGGGAAGUGUCAAAGAAUUUGUGGAUGUAUUUUAAAACCACCACACCAAGAAAGAGUUGCAAGGGGGAAGGAUGCUAAUUAAAUGACAAAUAACAACAAACAAACAAGAAAGGCUGGGUGCAGUGGCUCAUGCCUGUAUCCCAGUGUUUUGAGAGACCUAGGUGGGAGGAUUGCUUGAGGCCAGGAGUUUGAGACCAGCCUGGGCAACACAGGGAGACCCCAUCUCAAAAAAAAAAAAAAAAAAAAAAAAGCCGGGCAUGGUGGCUCGUGCCUGUAGCCCCAGCUAUUUGGAGGCUGAGGUGGGAGGAUAGCUUGAACCCAGGAGUUUGAGGCUUCAGUGAGCCAUGAUUGCACCACUGUACUCUAGCCUGUGCAACAGAGCAAGACCCUGUCUAAAAAAACAAAAAACACCCAAGAAACAUUUUGAGGGUAAAAAUCCAUUUAGAACAAGAACAAUACUAAACAGAAACUCUGAAAGAGACCAGGAAUUUAAAUUUACGUGGGACUUGAUGCCCAACCUGAAUCAUUGGCAUAAACAUCCUUGAACUUCUUUGUAAAACAAACUUCUGAAUAAAAGAACUUCUGAGAGAAAACUUCUAUUGCUGGCACUGUGACUAGGGGAGUAGAUGAAGGAUUUGAAUCAAGGAUAAGCAAUUCAGAGGGCAUAUCCAGUGGUUUGACUUGUAUCCUUCUAAGUUAACUUUUCCUUUCUCAAGACUUUCAAUUUUCUAAAUGUUCAAUAUCCCAACAUGACCAAAAGGGUCAAAUUCCAGCUCUAGUCUUCACAUCUUUUUUUUUUUUUUCCUUCUGAAGGUUUAUAUUCAUUUCCCUACGCUGUCUGAAAGAAGAUACCAUGAUCUAAUUGCCUAAGAAUUUAUUUCCAAAUAGUUGUUGACAGAGCCUGGAAGUCUCAGAAAGAUCAGAUGGAUCGUAUUCCUUCCUUUACUCAAGAGUUUUUUUUUUUUUUUAAUUAAAACAAAAAACCCAGCAACAACUAUGAUCCCUAAAGAACUUUCCUUUGUGGCACCUGGAGUAUUCAGUCAAUCAACAAGCUUUUCCUGGACAUAUGAUGGAGAUGAGACGUUCUCUAGGACUCAUAUUGGAAGCUAAACAGAAAACAGAUGCAGAUAAAUACAAUAAUCACAAAAGUGGGAUUGAGAAAGAGAGAGAGGAAUGGGGCUGAGGCUACAUCUAGGCAGCUGUGUGCAAUGAGGUGGAUUUAUUAAGGAAAAUGUUCCAGAAAAGAUGAACUUAAAGCUAUUCUAAAUAUUUGGGGGAAACUUGAGCAAAAGUUUGGAGAGAAAAGAAUGAAGACUGAAUUUUUAGGUCAUCAAAGAGAUGAGCAAGGGGUGGGCUGGAAUAUAGUAGGAGAUGAGGCUGGAAGGGGAGGGUGGAGACAGUGAUUAAGAUGGUUUUGAACAAACUGAUCUGCAAAGAGUUUGGUGUGGUUGGAGCAAUUAUAGGUUGGUGCAAAAGUAAUUGUGGUUUUUGCAAUUAAAAGUAAUGGCAAAACCGCAAUUACUUUUGCACCAACCUAAUAUUUUUGCGAGAGGAAAAAUUUUUUCAGUAUACUGUCUCCCAAACCAAACCAAACAAAAACAAACAAACAAAAAAGCCCAAACCAAAAAAAUCUUUGCUCAUUAAUAGAGACUCUUAGAAAGCCAGACCUUUAUAGGAAGAUGUGGGUUUAAGAUCUUUCACCACCUUCUUGAGCAACAUCCUGUUACCAUCAAGACUGAAGGUCAACCAACUGCCCAUGGAGGGAAGGCUUGAGAAAGCUUUUGCUGUGCCAAAAGGGGGAACUAUUUCUCCUGGAACAGAGUGGACAAAUGUGCAGCAGGUGAACAGAAUCAUAUUUGCUUUCCAGCUGUUGCACCAGCUGUGUCAUGCUGACAGUGGCCUCCACCUGUCUAACUCCUGCUUCCACCAAUUCAGAACCAAGAUAUUUUUAUACUCAUAUCCUGGUAUAAACCAACUGCUGAUGGAAGUUCUUUGAUGAUGAAUUUGGAAUCAAAUACAUUCUACUUUCUGGAAAUCCAUAUACUGGGUGGCUGCUUCAAUAGCAGCAGACACGAGAUGUAAAAUGCAGCAAUGGUCAAGGAAUUUCUCAGGGGAGGAAUCAAUCCUCUCAUUUUGGUGGAGGAACCUUGGAUACAGGGAGGAUGAGGGACUGACUCAAAGUCAUCUGGCAACUUAGAGACGAGGCCAGAGCUCCUCAAAUCUCCUAGCUCUGAAUCCAUGUUCUUUUUAUUGAGCGGGUCAUGACAUAACCCCCCAAAUGAGUGCAGCUUUUAAUCUCCCACAUCAAGGAGCCUGCUGUCUGCAGACUCAUGCAUACACAUCACGGUGGUUUCUGGGUGGUUGAUGCUCAUCACCCUCUGACUUCAUUUCUUUUUUCCUUUGCAAAAUGGCUAUUGCCCAGAGGCAGCAUCUCUUUUCUAAAAAGUGAACAUGCCAGAAGGGUUUUUGGAAACUGCCUUGCUAUCUGUCAGGAGCCAGAUGAUUCACAGGGAUGAACCAAUGUACAUAACAAGGAUACCUGAUUGGAUUACCAAUUAGCCGUCUCCACCUCUGCAGGGUGGUUGGAAAGAAGAGAAAAGGCAGUGUUUAGUUUGGGCAAAUACCAAAAGGACUUUAUCAUUCUCAUCAAGGCAUCAGCGUGGCACAUUAGACCUCUUCCAAGCCAUUCCACUGGAACUUCUCUCUCCAAAUGCUCCAGCAAGAGUAAACUUGUUAUGCAAACAUUGGAUCAUUGUGUCUGAGCUACAGAAGCACCUCUGUGUCGGUGAAAGGGGAGAAACUGGCUGACUUGCGUCUGUUUUUAAUGAUGUCGCUGCUGCUGGGAAAAUUUGGAAGCUGCAGGGGUGAUUAUUCUGGAGCCAGUGGCAGAUGCUACAGGAGGGAAGAGGCAUCUUUCAGCAGGAAGCGCCUGUAACAAGUGGCCGCUUCUGGCCUUGUGGAGUUUCACGUUCCUUUGUUUAUCUUUAAAAACAGGAUGAGAAUGAGAAUAUAUUAAUUGCAGGUUUAUUAAAGGCUCCAAGUACAACGUCUCAGGACCUGCUCCAAUGGAGCACACUCAGAAAAAGGAGUGCAGGCAAAUUGCUCUUUCUCCCCUUUGCUGCCUUGGUGCCUAUUUAACACUGUUGACAGCCACCAGAGCAGUUCCUACAUUUUACCGACACCGUCAAACAAGUAGCAGGUUAUUGAUCAGGACUUGCAAGGAAACUUCAUCCUCCUAAUCUCUGGCUAAAAGGGUAACAGAUAAUUUAUAAUUCUCUCUCCUUUUCUAUAUUUUUCUAAUUUGUAUAAAACCCUAUAUUAUGGUUUGAA